AGCCACUAAAACAGUCCUACGGCACUUCGAUCCGUUGUCAGAUCGCGUAGCGCGUGCCGAUCGAGCGGACUGCUGCUCGGUCAUCGAUCGUCGCUCGUAGAUCACGGAUCGACGGGCCGGGUACCGCGUGCCGAUCCUCGAUCAUUCGGGAACCGCGCGCGCGCGCGCGCCGAUGCCUAUCUCUGUGAAAAAAUACACCGGUUGAAAACCGCUGCUGCAGACAAGUGAAUUCAUCGGAUUGUCAGCAUUUUUGGUCUGUGCGAACGAAGCGUCCAGUGUCAAGGGUCGGGAAAAUAGUGGCGCGAUCUUCUAACAGAGAUCGAUCGCAUCUGGUGAAUAGGUGAUCACGGCGAAUUUGUUUCUCAGUGAUACCAUGCGUAAUCGUGAGCCAGCAUCGGCGUAAAGAAAAGUAAGCUGCGAUAGCGGUCGUGACGAGUGAAGUUAUUGUUUACGUAUCUGAAAGAGAGCGAGCGUUGGCGAGACGGUUCGCCAGCUGGCAAACAACUUUAUCUGCUGGUAAUUGUUAGAACGACAAGUAAUUAGUAUUAGCAGAUGUAGCGUACUGGGUUAAUCUUCCCGAAGACGUGCUAUCUAGCCGAACAGAGUCUGUUCAACAGACUCGGAUCCCCCGCCGCCAGCCGGAAAAAUCGGAUUUCACGCGGCCGGCCGCAACGAGUCACUUGGCACGCGGCAAUUACCGCAUCGCUAACGGUAAUUGUUCUCGGCCUGUCCGCGUGUUCAUUUGCAGUGUGUAAAAUAACAUGUACGCCACGAAUCGACGCACCGCGCCGGCCGUGCGCUUUCUAACGACCGCAGACUAUUAAUCCGUUUUUUUUUUAUUGCGAGUUCUUAUCGCAGUUCGACGGGAAUUAUCGGGCCAGCGGAUGAGGUUGUUGUGACGGCUCGAGCGAACGGACGUCGACGCGUUGCGCCGCGACCAAGGAAAUCAGUGUAAAUAACCGCGAAAUCUCGACCGAGCUAAGGUGUCGCCUCGACUUGAUGACAAAGGGCUCUUCAUGUACAAUAGGGACGGAAACACGCCGCUCCGAUGAUGGGCUUCCGAGAACGACGCCGCUAAAAAUCUUGAGAGCCGUGCGUAUCGCACUUUCAUAUCGGCCAGGACAAGUGGCACUGAAGAGCGUUCGCUACUAGGUAUUCUAAAUUCGAAAAGCUUCGGUCGGGAUAAGGAUCGAUCGUCGCAGUAAAUCGAUGAAGGCAUUCUAAAAAUCAGUGUGUUCUUUCCCGUGCUGCGACAGGACACCGAACGAAUGGUCGACGAAGUCGGCGCCGGAACGAGGUCGCCCGUGUUUCUCCGCGGUACGAAUAUGGGAAACAGUGUUACACCGACU